rnacentral:rRNA from 1 species
UACGUAGGGCGCAAGCGUUAUCCGGAAUUAUUGGGCGUAAAGAGCUCGUAGGCGGUUUGUCGCGUCUGCCGUGAAAGUCCGGGGCUCAACUCCGGAUCUGCGGUGGGUACGGGCAGACUAGAGUGAUGUAGGGGAGACUGGAAUUCCUGGUGUAGCGGUGAAAUGCGCAGAUAUCAGGAGGAACACCGAUGGCGAAGGCAGGUCUCUGGGCAUUUACUGACGCUGAGAAGCGAAAGCAUGGGGAGCGAACAGG